rnacentral:rRNA from 1 species
GAUGAACGCUAGCGGCAGGCCUAGUACAUGCAAGUCGAACGCUCAGUAGCAAUACUGGGAGUGGCGCACGGGUGCGUAACGCGUACACAAUCUACCUCUAAGCGGGGACACCUCCUGGAAACGGGGAUUAAUACCGCAUAAUAUGCCGAGGUCGCAUGACUUUGGUAUUAAAGCAGCAAUGCACUUAGAGAUGAGUGUGCGUCCCAUUAGGUAGUUGGUGAGGUAACGGCUCACCAAGCCUAUGAUGGGUAGCCGGUCUGAGAGGAUGGGUCGGCCACACGGGCACUGAGACACGGGCCCGAUCCUACGGGAGGCAGCAGUAAGG